rnacentral:rRNA from 1 species
UACGAAGGGGGCUAGCGUUGUUCGGAAUUACUGGGCGUAAAGCGUAUGCAGGCGGAUCGUUAAGUCGGGGGUGAAAUCCCGAGGCUCAACCUCGGAACUGCCUUCGAUACUGGCGAUCUUGAGUCCGGGAGAGGUGAGUGGAACUGCGAGUGUAGAGGUGAAAUUCGUAGAUAUUCGCAAGAACACCAGUGGCGAAGGCGGCUCACUGGCCCGGUACUGACGCUGAGAUGCGAAAGCUAGGGGAGCGAAUGGG